rnacentral:rRNA from 1 species
GACGAACGCUGGCGGCGUGCUUAACACAUGCAAGUCGAACGGAAAGGCCCUGCUUUUGUGGGGUGCUCGAGUGGCGAACGGGUGAGUAACACGUGAGUAACCUGCCCUUGACUUUGGGAUAACUUCAGGAAACUGGGGCUAAUACCGGAUAGGAGCUCCUGCUGCAUGGUGGGGGUUGGAAAGUUUCGGCGGUUGGGGAUGGACUCGCGGCUUAUCAGCUUGUUGGUGGGGUAGUGGCUUACCAAGGCUUUGACGGGUAGCCGGCCUGAGAGGGUGACCGGCCACAUUGGGACUGAGAUACGGCCCAGACUCCUACGGGAGGCAGCAGUGGGGAAUAUUGCACAAUGGGCGGAAGCCUGAUGCAGCAACGCCGCGUGCGGGAUAACGGCCUUCGGGUUGUAAACCGCUUUCGCCUGUGACGAAGCGUGAGUGGCGGUAAUGGGUAAAGAAGCACCGGCUAACUACGUG